rnacentral:rRNA from 1 species
GACGGAGGGUGCUAGCGUUGUUCGGAAUGACUGGGCGUAAAGGGCGCGUAGGCGGCCACCGCAAGUCGACUGUGAAAUCUCCGGGCUUAACCCGGAAAGGUCAGCCGAUACUGCGGGGCUAGAGUGCAGAAGGGGCAACUGGAAUUCUCGGUGUAGCGGUGAAAUGCGUAGAUAUCGAGAGGAACACCUGCGGCGAAGGCGGGUUGCUGGGCUGACACUGACGCUGAGGCGCGAAAGCUAGGGGAGCGAACGGG